AGUGAACGCUGGCGGUAGGCCUAACACAUGCAAGUCGAACGGCAGCACAGUAAGAGCUUGCUCUUACGGGUGGCGAGUGGCGGACGGGUGAGGAAUACAUCGGAAUCUACUUUUUCGUGGGGGAUAACGUAGGGAAACUUACGCUAAUACCGCAUACGACCUACGGGUGAAAGCAGGGGAUCUUCGGACCUUGCGCGAUUGAAUGAGCCGAUGUCGGAUUAGCUAGUUGGCGGGGUAAAGGCCCACCAAGGCGACGAUCCGUAGCUGGUCUGAGAGGAUGAUCAGCCACACUGGAACUGAGACACGGUCCAGACUCCUACGGGAGGCAGCAGUGGGGAAUAUUGGACAAUGGGCGAAAGCCUGAUCCAGCCAUACCGCGUGGGUGAAGAAGGCCUUCGGGUUGUAAAGCCCUUUUGUUGGGAAAGAAAAGCAGCAGGUUAAUACGCCGCUGUUCUGACGGUACCCAAAGAAUAAGCACCGGCUAACUUCGUG
rnacentral:rRNA from 1 species